GCGCCAUCCAGUUCAUUUGGCUGCAAUCGGAUUGGCUAACGAGUCGACACGCCAGAAAAAUGGACACGAAGACGGUGGGAGGUAAUGCCGUGACGGUGAGGAUCAGUAGCCAUGGUAACUGCUGUUGCCACAACUGUCACAGACACACAGUGUAACCAGCCACAGAACGAUGGACAACCUGCAACAGUCCGAUAGAUGGGAAUGCAACACGACACAACUGACGCUGUUAAGAGAAGAUAAUAAGAGCCAGGCCGUGCAUAUCCCGGCAGCUGAUCUACCGGUGUUUCAUAUUAUCUUCGAGGCCAUUCUCCGUGGAAACCAGCAUAUGCGGUUGUACAACGAGACAACUCCUAAUCAGGUCUGGACCCAGCCCAUCAGUAACCAUGGCAACUGACACACGGAACGGCGGUGAACCGACAACAGUCGGAUCGAUGGGAAUGCAACACAUGACACACUAUCAACUGUGAAGGGAGGACCGCGAUAAGAUGGAGACGAUAGAAAGGCGAGGUCAUCUAUCCAAUGUCUAGCCACCCAAAAGUGCGACGAAGAUAUGGCUCAUCUGCUGUAGUUUGAAUCCUCGUUUGCUGACACAUUGGCAGUCGUGGCGGAUUCAAAACGGAAUGACUGACGCAAUUCUUCUUGAAAGGAAUCACAGUGACAUCACUACUACUCAGAACAAAAGGUAGGUGAUGAGCAACUGGCAGUGUGAGGUGAUUUCUUCGACGGUGAAAGAUACCUAUAGCUGAAAAGUGUAGAGCCUAUGCAGAUUUCUGUAAAGCUUGGAAAUUCAAUUUCGCUCAUUGAUCCCUAGAAGAAGCUUUGAUAACUACUUGACCGAAACGCUACCAGUCAUCAUCCCAUGCACAUCUUCACCUGGGAAUUUCCUUUCCUGAAUUUUAGACAUUCGACUGAAUGGAUCGUUAGUCGUCUUCCAAAAAAAUAAA